rnacentral:rRNA from 1 species
GACGAACGCUGGCGGCGUGCUUAAUACAUGCAAGUCGAACGGAAAGGCCCUGCUUUUGUGGGGUGCUCGAGUGGCGAACGGGUGAGUAACACGUGAGUAACCUGCCCUUGACUUUGGGAUAACUUCAGGAAACUGGGGCUAAUACCGGAUAGGAGCUCCUGCUGCAUGGUGGGGGUUGGAAAGCUUCGGCGGUUGGGGAUGGACUCGCGGCUUAUCAGCUUGUUGGUGGGGUAGUGGCUUACCAAGGCUUUGACGGGUAGCCGGCCUGAGAGGGUGACCGGCCACAUUGGGACUGAGAUACGGCCCAGACUCCUACGGGAGGCAGCAGUGGGGAAUAUUGCACAAUGGGCGGAAGCCUGAUGCAGCAACGCCGCGUGCGGGAUGACGGCCUUCGGGUUGUAAACCGCUUUCGCCUGUGACGAAGCGUGAGUGACGGUAAUGGGUAAAGAAGCACCGGCUAACUACGUG